CCCCAUCUCUACUAAAAAUACAAAAUUAGCCGGGCAUGGUGGCACAUGCCUGUAAUCCCAGCUACUAGGGAGGCUGAGGCAGGAGAAUCGCUUGAACCUGGGAGGUGGAGGUUGCGGUGAGCCGAGAUCGUGCCAUUGCACUCCAGCCUGGACAACAAGAGUGAAACUCUGUCUCAAAAAAAAUAAAUAAAUAAAACUUCCCCAAGACCACAGGUAAGUAAACUGGGAUUUGAAUGCUAGCCAUCCAGCUCCAGGGUCCAUGCUCAUAAUCGUAAGGUGUAACUGCUUCUCAGCAUGGAGAGAUGCCUCAGGGCUCUGAGGUCAGCUGUGGUUCAAAAACAGGCUCACAAAGUAACAAAAGGAAAAAAUCCAUCAAUUGAAUUGCAUCAGAACUAAAUAACUUUUUUUUUUUUUUUGAGAUGGACUCUCACUUUGUCACCUAGACUGGAGUGCAGUAGCGCGAUCUUGGCUCACUGCAAUCUCUGUCUCCUGGGUUCUCCUGCCUCAGCCUCCCGAGCAGCCAGGAUUACAGGCACAUGCCACCACGCCUGGCUAACUUUUGUAUUUUUAGUGGAGAUGGGGUUUCACCAUGUUGGCCAGGCUGGUCUUGAACUCCUGACCUCAAGUGAUCCUCCUGCCUUGGCCUCCUAAAGUACUGGGAUUACAGGCGUGAGCCACUGCACCCGGCCAGAACUAAAAAACUUUUGUGCUCCGAAAGACACUAUCAAGAAAGUGAAGAGAGGCCAGGCGAGGUGGUACACACCUGUAUCCUAGCGCUUUGGGAGGCUGAAGCAGGAGGAUCAUUUGAGCCCAGGAGUUCAUGACCAGCCUGGACAACAUAGCAAGGGGCUUGCUCUACAAAAAAAUUAAAAAAUUAGCCAGAUGUGGUAAUGCAAACCUGUAGUCCUAGUUACUUGGAAGGUUGAGGUGGGAGGAUUGCUUAAGCCCAGGAGUUUGAGGCUGCAGUGAGUUACGACUGUACCACUGCACUCUAGCCUGGGCGACAGAGCAAGACCAUGUCUCAAAAAAGCUUUUUAAGAAAGGGAAAAGACAACCCACUAAUGGGAGAAGAUACUGUAGUUGCAAAUCAUAUACCUGAUGAGGAACUUGUAUCUAGACUAUAUAAAGAGCCCUUGCAACUCAAUCAUGAAAAGAUAAGUAACACCCCCCAAACUUUUUUUUUUUUUUUUUUUUUGGAGACGGAGUCUUGCUUAGUUGCCCAGGCUGGAGUGCAGUGGCGCCAUCUCGGCUCACUGCAAGCUCCGCCUCCUGGGUUCACGCCAUUCUCCUGCCUCAGCCUCCCGAGGCUGGGACUACAGGCGCCUGCCACUACGCCCGGCUAAUUUUUUUUGUAUUUUUAGUAGAGACGGGGUUUCACC
rnacentral:lncRNA from 1 species